rnacentral:rRNA from 1 species
GAUGAACGCUGGCGGCGUGCCUAAUACAUGCAAGUCGAGCGAACAGAUGAGGAGCUUGCUCCUCUGACGUUAGCGGCGGACGGGUGAGUAACACGUGGAUAACCUACCUAUAAGACUGGGAUAACUUCGGGAAACCGGAGCUAAUACCGGAUAAUAUAUUGAACCGCAUGGUUCAAUAGUGAAAGACGGUUUUGCUGUCACUUAUAGAUGGAUCCGCGCCGCAUUAGCUAGUUGGUAAGGUAACGGCUUACCAAGGCAACGAUGCGUAGCCGACCUGAGAGGGUGAUCGGCCACACUGGAACUGAGACACGGUCCAGACUCCUACGGGAGGCAGCAGUAGGGAAUCUUCCGCAAUGGGCGAAAGCCUGACGGAGCAACGCCGCGUGAGUGAUGAAGGUCUUCGGAUCGUAAAACUCUGUUAUUAGGGAAGAACAAAUGUGUAAGUAACUAUGCACGUCUGGACGGUACCUAAUCAGAAAGCCACGGCUAACUAC